GAUUGAUUCCCUUUCGUAUUGCCCUAUGUGUAAGUUGGUAAAUGUAAUUUCCUUUAUUUUACUUUCUGAUCCAGUUACUCCGUUACUGACUUUAUUGAUAACACUAUAGGUAUAUUCUGGUGCUGUUGAAUUAUUCUGCAUUCCAAUGUGUCCCUCAGUCCCUGUGAACUCCUCCUCCAGGUCCCCUCUAGUUGUAAAGGGUUUAAAAAAAAAAAUCUUUAUUCACUUACCUGAUUCCAAC